rnacentral:rRNA from 1 species
GUGAGGAAUAUUGGUCAAUGGGCGGGAGCCUGAACCAGCCAAGUCGCGUGAAGGAAGAAGGAUCUAUGGUUCGUAAACUUCUUUUGCAGGGGAAUAAAGUGCGGGACGUGUCCUGUUUUGUAUGUACCCUGAGAAUAAGGAUCGGCUAACUCCGUGCCAGCAGCCGCGGUAAUACGGAGGAUCCGAGCGUUAUCCGGAUUUAUUGGGUUUAAAGGGUGCGUAGGUGGUUUGAUAAGUCAGCGGUGAAAGUUUGCAGCUUAACUGUAAAAAUGCCGUUGAAACUGUCGGACUUGAGUGUAAAUGAGGUAGGCGGAAUGCGUGGUGUAGCGGUGAAAUGCAUAGAUAUCACGCAGAACUCCGAUUGCGAAGGCAGCUUACUAAGCUACAACUGACACUGAAGCACGAAAGCGUGGGGAUCAAACAGGAUUAGAAACCCGGGUAGUCC